GCCCGGGUGGUGGAAUGGUAGACACGGGGGACUUAAAAUCCCUUGCGAAAGCGUGCGGGUUCGAAUCCCGCCCUGGGCA
rnacentral:tRNA from 1 species